CUGGGGUAAACUAGUCACUUGUCUGUAACUUGUCCUUGGGGAAAUUUCGCUUGGCUGCGGAGGUAACGGAAUCUUGUGUUGAUCUAUAAAAGAUAACACUCACGAGUCUCUAAACACCAUGUAUAGCCAGACUAUUUGCUGGGUAUUAAAAUGAAGAUUCAAGUCGGUAUAAAGUUUAACAAUUUAAUAAACGAUCCAACAAGAAUAUAAACGAUGUUACAAUAUUGAGUCCGGUGUUGACGGUUUAAGAACCUAUCCAAAACUGAAUAUAAAUUAUUUCUGAAAAGUAUAUAAAACAGAAUGACAAAGAAAUAAAUGUAAUUAGGGAUUAAGCAAUUAUUGUCCAUUGUUCAGAUAAUCUGCUAAAAACUGUCUUUGACACGUAGAUACGAAGUCCAUUAUCGGAUUAGUAGAAACAUACAUUUUAAACCAAAGAUAAUUG
rnacentral:lncRNA from 1 species